AGAGUUUGAUCAUGGCUCAGGAUGAACGCUGGCGGCGUGCCUAACACAUGCAAGUCGAGCGAGAAGUUUUAAACUGAUUCUUCGGAUGAAGUUUAAAAUGGAAAGCGGCGGACGGGUGAGUAACGCGUAGGCAACCUGCCCCAUACAGAGGGAUAGCUCCGGGAAACCGGGAUUAAUACCUCAUAAUACUUUAGUGUCGCAUGACACAAAAGUCAAAGAUUUAUCGGUAUGGGAUGGGCCUGCGUCUGAUUAGCUAGUUGGUAAGGCAAAGGCUUACCAAGGCAACGAUCAGUAGCCGACCUGAGAGGGUGAUCGGCCACACUGGAACUGAGACACGGUCCAGACUCCUACGGGAGGCAGCAGUGGGGAAUAUUGCACAAUGGGCGCAAGCCUGAUGCAGCAACGCCGCGUGAGUGAUGAAGGCUUUCGGGUCGUAAAACUCUGUCCUAAGGGAAGAAACAAAUGACGGUACCUUAGGAGGAAGCCCCGGCUAACUACGUGCCAGCAGCCGCGGUAAUACGUAGGGGGCAAGCGUUAUCCGGAAUUAUUGGGCGUAAAGAGUGCGUAGGUGGUUCUACAAGCCUUGGGUGAAAGGCUACGGCUCAACCGUAGUAAGCCUUGGGAACUGUAGGACUUGAGUGCAGGAGAGGAGAGUGGAAAUUCCUAGUGUAGCGGGUGAAAAUGCGUA
rnacentral:rRNA from 1 species